rnacentral:lncRNA from 1 species
AUACCUAUAUAUUAAUUUUCAAAAGAAAUGCCACAUAGUUGUAUUUUCUUUUCUUUUGGACUUCACAUUGCAAAACCAAUCCUUUAUCUUCUCUCUACCCAUAACGUCUAAUUAAUGGUUCACCCACCUUAAUCCAACCUUUCGCCUUUCCUCCUCACAUAAUGUGUAAUUAAUGGUCCAUCCACCUUAACCCAAUCCUUCGCUUUCUCUCAGCACAUAACGUCUAAUUAAUAGUCCACCCACCUUACCCCUAUUGUAAACCAUAAAUCGUAGAAACCCACACAAAAAGCCCCCUUCUCUCAUUCUUUGCUUUCUCUUUCUCCUCCAUGGGCUCUGUAAGGUACCGAACUUCUAAAAUUAUGAAGUUACGGCGGAUGUAGUAUACUGAAUUUUUAAUAUAAAAAUAAAUAUAAAUAAAAAUAGUGUGAGAUACUAUUUUUAUUGGAUUUAAGGGUGUAAAGUAUAAGUUGGAAAUGACCUGUGCUGAAAUCGGAGCGAAAACAGAAGAUUUAGAAUUUUCUGUGAGAGACGGGGCAGAUAAAUUAGCAGAAAAUGCACAGUGUCAGAAAAUUAUAAAAACUGGAGAAUAUGUCAGAAUUAUUUUUAUGAGGCUAGAUUUAAAGUUUCAUACCAUUCUGACGCUUGAAAAAUGGAAAAUAAAAUUCGACUGCUAUUUGAUAAAGAUUACAGUUCGGUACAGCUUUCGGUGACCAAACAUAGUCGAAACUGAAAGAUUAAAAUUUCUUUGGACUUAUUAAGUAAAACCGAGCCUGCCUGUUAAAUUUGAGCUCAAACGGAUAUUCAGAGGGCUCCGGCGAAAGAUAUCAAAUUUCGUACUGCCUGAAGUGAAUAGUG